CCAGCAGCCGCAGCCGCAUGUUAGGGGCGCUCUCUGAAGCACCGAGGUUGAGGUCGGGGGAGAGAGAAGGUGGGGGAGAAAGAAACUUUGCUUUUGUGCCUCUAAUCCUUUAUCCCUGAACCCUGCUGGGAAGUAGGAAUUAUUAUCCACAUUACAGAGAUGAAUAAGCAGAGGGCCGGAAUGGGAAGUAUUCUUCAGCUGUUACAUGUGUGCCCAACAGAAUACCCUACACCAGGCUCUGACCACUGGACUCCAGUAGACAGAAAGUACUGGGAACCAAAUAUUUACCAUGCUCUAUUCCCUGUGCUGGAGGUAAAAACAAAGAAGAAAAAUGAUCUCUACUACUCUUGAGAUACCCACUGCUCAUGGAGGAAGACAUGUGAACAAAGAACAUUUGUGAUAUUGAAAGGCCCACAAUGUGAGGACUCCCCCACGGUCUGAGUCAGGAGAGGCGGCACCCCAAAUCACUCAUGAGAAAUGGUCUUGAUGCAAACUGCAAGAGGACUUUGAUUCCAGGCACACGCUGGAGCCUACAGUCGCACACCAUGCAGGGGUAGAGGACCAUGUCGGCUCAGCGUAGCUGGGAGAGGUGGUAUUUAAAGGAAAAAAACACAACCCAAGAGGGUAGGGAGGCCGUUAUUGGAAAAUACCAAGAAUACCAGUGAAAAGUCACAAGGGGGUACUAAAAAUCACAAGCGGAGACUCCCUGCUUCUCAAGAUUGUUCUCAGGAUUUUAAUCUAACUUUUGUGGUAGGCCAGUUCCUGGAUCAGAGUCACUGAACCAACUUGUGUAAUUACCUGUUCUGUGGUCAGCCAGUUCUCAGAACAGGCUGCUUCAGGGACCAACUAUUUUUCUUUCUUGGUUCCAACGUGGUCUAAGGGGCCAAACUUAAAUUUUCUACCUUACAAUAUGCGAUCUGUGCAUGGACAAAGAGGAAGACCUCUGCCAUGGGAAGGAGGCAGGUAAGGAUAUAAAAAGAUCUCUUUGAAGCUGUAGAAGAUAAUAACGAAGAUGAGACAAGAACUAGGAAAAGAGAAGCACUAGAACAGGGGCUAUUCCAGAGAUGCAGCCUCAGAUUGGAAGAUGCAAGACUAAGGGAAAUCAGCCCGGGUUUCAGGAAGUGCAAUUUCCUGCAGCACAUGAAGAAGUGAAGGAGUUCAGAGGAAGACAACCUGAGAGGUAAAGUGUGAACGGUCAUCAAAGGCCAACUCUUUGGGGCCUGGCCAGUGAGGACUUUAAGUGGUAAUAGCUGAUUCUGACUUCAGAAAGUAUACUCAGUCAGUCUGGACUAUUUGAUGGAUGGCAGAUAAAUUGGUGAUGGUAAUAAACAUGUACUGUGCUGAGUGCGGGAGGCACAAGGCUGUGGACUGAAGGACGGCAACGCUCUGUAGAAAUCUUCAAGUGAAUUCAGGCCAUCUAGAAGCAACCAAGGUGCUUGAGAACCUGUCAAUCAAAAGGUUGUGAUCUGCCUCCCCAGAUCCAAAUCCCAGCUGUGAGUCAUUAUGGAUACAACUAGGCAAGCCAAGUAACACUCUACAUGUUGGUUUAUUCAUAAAAGAAAGGACAGCUUGCUCCUUUUAGUUAUUGCUGUGAGGAUUAAAUGAGUUGAUACAUACCUUUGGAACAUGCCAAGACCUUUGAUAAGUGGGAAUUCUCAUUGUUUGAACUAUGGUAUGGGUAGGACACAGGAGUUAGAACUUGGUGGGGCAGGACAAGAUGGCCAAAGGAAUCUCAUUUUUUGCCUUGGACAGUGAGGCAGAUGGUAAGCACAGGAGGGAACAGUGAAUAAGGAAGAUAAGAUUUAUUUGGAAGCUAUUGAGAGUGGAAAGCCUAGGGGACAUUGUGAUAGAAAUGUCCUUCUUGCCACUGUCACAAGAGUGGGUUCUGAAGACCAGAAUGAAAAUCUGAGACCUAGAAUUCUCAGGAAGCAACUGAAGCUGGGAAAAGCCUAGAUGUAAUGGGUGGCUGAAGGAAGAGGUCGGCACUCGGGAGACUGAGCUGGGAUAGCUGGAGUAUAGCCGGGGAAGCAAGAAAGAACAGAGCUCUGACUCCAUGGGCGAGUAGUCAGAAAUGUAAUGUGAGGCAGAGGAAGGCUGUGGAAUGAGAAAAAGGCUGACAGCCGCUGGGUUUGGCGAUAUGCCAAUGUUUGCUGAUUGAACUAUCCCAGUCUGGAGAACAGCAAAGGUAAAGUUAGUUCACAGGGAAACUUUGAUAUAGGAGCUGGGAAAACAGGAUUUGGAGAACUAAAAAAGAAAGGAUAAAGAAAGUACAGAGAAUGUAGCUGCUGAAAUAACUCCUUCCCUGGGGGCCAGGAAGCAAAGGGGAGGGGCUCCACCUCUGAGUGCUGGGUGCCUCUCACCUGAUCCUGAUACCUGCAGCUCAGAGAAAGGGCCCUAAGGAGCUGAGAGUCCGGGAGGGAACCUGCUUUAGUGGAGCUGCUGCUGCCCUGGAAGUGAGGAAGAUGAGCUCAAAAGAACCAAGUUGAACCUCUGCACUGAGAACCCGAGGGCAGUUCGGGGUUGGGGGUGGUGCAGGAAAUGAGAGAUUGGCAUGCAGCAUUGUUACUGAGUCAUGCUAACACCCACAGCAAGCAAACAGGAAACAGAAGCCCUUCUCACUCUUCUAGCUUUUCAGUCUCCCUGGAGUGUCCUUUAUCAGCAAAACAAUGGCAGCCAGGUGAUGUCAGAGAAAAGUAGCCUGCAGGCUCCGGGGUCUGGCAGUGGACUCUGGAAAGGUGGCUUGAGACAGUGUGAUUUGUCAAUCUAGUUUUAAUGUUUUGGAGGAAAGCAAUGGACUGACAAUCUGAAAUGUAGACAACGAUUAUGGACUGUUUUCUUCCAAAAAAUACUGACUCCUUGCACCAGCC